AAGACAAACAGCAAAGCCACAGAUUAACUACCAAGAGGCAGCUCUGCUCAGCGUCUUUUCAAAGAUGUAGGCCCUUUGUGCUCUGUGUUUAGUGGGAGGUCACCAGUGGAGCCACGCUGCCUUGGUGCACAUAACACAAGACCCUGUGACUUACAGCUAAAUGAACAGGAGGCCAAGCUUUACCAUCUCUCCUCUAUCCGACAAAUACUAGAAGCCUUCCACCUCCAAGAAUAAACCUUAAGACACAUCGCUGGCAAUUCAGAGCCCACAAAAUGUGAACAGGCAGUUCUGGAGUGCUUGCAAUGAUUUUUAUCCAUGUUUGUGAUAACCCAUGCCACGGCAGAAGAGAAGAAACAGACACCACAUGCCUCAAGAGACAGCGAGAAAAUGGUCUGUUACACUUAGUAGAACUCUUCCUUUCAUUAGAUCUUUCACACAUGUUUAGGAACUGGUCAAAUAGCAACUCGUUCAUUUCUUUACUCUGCACACUCUUUGUCUCAUAUGCCACAAUUCUCAAGGACAAUCCCUGUUUCAAGAUGCUUAAAAAUCUGAAAGCAACGGGGAAUGAGAUAUUGGGUAAGGGAAGGAGAACAGAGGCAGGAUGUAAAUGAAUUCAAUUCGCUGCAGACAGCAUGACAGAAAUGGGUCUUUAAGAUGGACACCUAUGAGCACAGUCCUUGGAGAAAAGUCUAAGGAGGUUAUACGGUGCUUGAGAGCCAGCAGAGAGGCUGAACGAAUGAAGUGACAUUACCUUUCCCUUGGGGAUUUCCUGAAGAACAAAUUUAAUCUGACCCAGAGUAAGAAUCCUUUUAAAUAAUUACGGAUUUAAGCAGAGGACAGCAGAGUUGUUUUUUUCCUAGCCUGGUAAUGUGUCAUGAAAAAGAAACCUCCUACUUGCCCAACACAGACUAAGCAGCUCAAUAUGGCAGGCAAUUUUUUUUGUAAGCAUGUGAGCGUUUACAGGCUCACAUGACUAUUCACACGCAAGGUAGCAGGCCUGUACCUCUGAACAGAAAUAUACUGCAAGCCAAGCUACUGCACAUUUUCUGAGACUUCAAACAACUUGAGAUCUUCAUGAACUAGUUCUAAUCACAGUUCACAAGGUGUAAAACAUCAUCCUUACAAGUAUUAACCUUUAAAAAUUACUAAAGGUCUGCAUAGUUCAAUCACCCAGCCAACUAUACUUUUGGUAGAUGGAUUUCAUGAAAGAAAAUAAACUUCACAGAAGAUUCCCUUACCAAAGUAUCUUUUUUUCUCACAGAAUUACUUCAUUUCCAUUAAAACACAGGACGUCAACCCAAUUCAAUUUGAAGGCAAUCAUUUUUGUUUGCGUCAUGUAUAUUACACAAACAUACCAUUACAGCAAGAUAGACAUCAAGGAGAUGAAAUCAAGUUUAACUUAUGAGUAUUACAUAUUAGAAUUAUUGUUCAUUCCUUUUGCAUUAGUAGAACAAUCUCACAGAAACAAGCCAAUAUAUUUUAGCUUUAAUGGAGCCCCUUAGAUAUUUUUUGAUCCUAAAAUGGAUUAAACAUUUCUCUGAUGAGUGCUUUAGUGGCUACAUAUUUUAAAUGCAUCGCCAAGUUUUCCUGUUCAUCACACUGUUGCUUUAAAUGAGUCACAGCUUCUGU